rnacentral:rRNA from 1 species
UACGUAGGGUGCGAGCGUUGUCCGGAAUUAUUGGGCGUAAAGAGCUCGUAGGCGGUGUGUCACGUCGGCCGUGAAAACCUGGGGCUCAACUCUGGGCGUGCGGUCGAUACGGGCAUCACUAGAGUUCGGCAGGGGAGACUGGAAUUCCUGGUGCAGCGGUGAAAUGCGCAGAUAUCAGGAGGAACACCGGUGGCGAAGGCGGGUCUCUGGGCCGAUACUGACGCUGAGGAGCGAAAGCAUGGGUAGCGAACAGG